AACAUUCAUUGCUGUCGGUGGGUUUGACUUUGAAUCAACUCACUGAUCAAUGAAUGUAAA
rnacentral:pre_miRNA from 1 species